UACGGGGGGGGCAAGCGUUGUUCGGAAUUACUGGGCGUAAAGGGCUCGUAGGCGGCCAACUAAGUCAGACGUGAAAUCCCUCGGCUUAACCGGGGAACUGCGUCUGAUACUGGAUGGCUUGAGGUUGGGAGAGGGAUGCGGAAUUCCAGGUGUAGCGGUGAAAUGCGUAGAUGUCGGAAGGAACACCUGUGGCGAAAGCGGCUCACUGGACCAUUACUGACGCUGAUGCACGAAAGCUAGGGGAGCAAACAGG
rnacentral:rRNA from 1 species